rnacentral:rRNA from 1 species
AGUGAACGCUGGCGGUAGGCCUAACACAUGCAAGUCGAACGGCAGCACAGUAAGAGCUUGCUCUUACGGGUGGCGAGUGGCGGACGGGUGAGGAAUACAUCGGAAUCUACUUUUUCGUGGGGGAUAACGUAGGGAAACUUACGCUAAUACCGCAUACGACCUACGGGUGAAAGCAGGGGAUCUUCGGACCUUGCGCGAUUGAAUGAGCCGAUGUCGGAUUAGCUAGUUGGCGGGGUAAAGGCCCACCAAGGCGACGAUCCGUAGCUGGUCUGAGAGGAGGAUAAGCCACACGGGAACUGAGACACGGUCCAGACUCCUACGGGAGGCAGCAGUGGGGAAUAUUGGACAAUGGGCGCAAGCCUGAUCCAGCCAUACCGCGUGGGUGAAGAAGGCCUUCGGGUUGUAAAGCCCUUUUGUUGGGAAAGAAAAGCAGCAGGUUAAUACCCCGCUGUUCUGACGGUACCAAAAGAAUAAGCACCGGCUAACUUCGUG